GCGGCAUGCCUUACACAUGCAAGUCGAACGGCAGCGCGGGAGCAAUCCUGGCGGCGAGUGGCGAACGGGUGAGUAAUACAUCGGAACGUGCCCAAUCGUGGGGGAUAACGCAGCGAAAGCUGUGCUAAUACCGCAUACGAUCUACGGAUGAAAGCAGGGGAUCGCAAGACCUUGCGCGAAUGGAGCGGCCGAUGGCAGAUUAGGUAGUUGGUGAGGUAAAGGCUCACCAAGCCUUCGAUCUGUAGCUGGUCUGAGAGGACGACCAGCCACACUGGGACUGAGACACGGCCCAGACUCCUACGGGAGGCAGCAGUGGGGAAUUUUGGACAAUGGGCGAAAGCCUGAUCCAGCCAUGCCGCGUGCAGGAUGAAGGCCUUCGGGUUGUAAACUGCUUUUGUACGGAACGAAACGGUCUUUUUUAAUACAGAAGGCUAAUGACGGUACCGUAAGAAUAAGCACCGGCUAACUACGUGCCAGCAGCCGCGGUAAUACGUAGGGUGCAAGCGUUAAUCGGAAUUACUGGGCGUAAAGCGUGCGCAGGCGGUGAUGUAAGACAGUUGUGAAAUCCCCGGGCUCAACCUGGGAACUGCAUCUGUGACUGCAUCGCUGGAGUACGGCAGAGGGGGAUGGAAUUCCGCGUGUAGCAGUGAAAUGCGUAGAUAUGCGGAGGAACAUCGAUGGCGAAGGCAAUCCCCUGGGUCUGUACUGACGCUCAUGCACGAUAGCGUGGGGAACAAGAGGAUAGAUAGCAUGGUACUCACGCCCUAACGAUGUU
rnacentral:rRNA from 1 species